rnacentral:misc_RNA from 1 species
AACUUUUAACAACGGAUCUCUUGGUUCUGGCAUCGAUGAAGAACGCAGCGAAAUGCGAUAGGUAAUGCGAAUUGCAGAAUUCCAGUGAGUCAUCGAAUCUUUGAACGCACAUUGCGCCCUUUGGUAUUCCGAAGGGCGUGCCUGUUCGAGCGUCAUUAUCACCCCUCAAACCCCGCGCUUGGUCCAGGCCGGCCGGUCCAACGAUCGACCGCUCCUAAAGACAAUGACCGCGGCCUGCGGUUCCCCCGGUACAAUCAGCUUCUCACUGAGCACGUACAAGACCACGGCACCCCGGACACUGUCCCAAUCCUCAACUAGUAACCCUCUAAGGUUGACCCCGGAUCAAGGAGGAAUACGCGCUGACCAUAAGCAUAACAAUAAGCGGAGGCA